AUUGAACGCUGGCGGCAUGCCUUACACAUGCAAGUCGAACGGUAACGCGGGGCAACCUGGCGACGAGUGGCGAACGGGUGAGUAACGCAUCGGAACGUGCCCAAUAGUGGGGGAUAGCCCGGCGAAAGCCGGAUUAAUACCGCAUACGACCUACGGGUGAAAGCAGGGGAUCGCAAGACCUUGCGCUAAUGGAGCGGCCGAUGUCAGAUUAGGUUGUUGGUGGGGUAAAAGCCCACCAAGCCGACGAUCUGUAGCUGGUCUGAGAGGACGACCAGCCACACUGGGACUGAGACACGGCCCAGACUCCUACGGGAGGCAGCAGUGGGGAAUUCUGGACAAUGGGCGCAAGCCCGAUCCAGCCAUGCCGCGUGCGGGAUGAAGGCCUUCGGGUUGUAAACCGCUUUUGUUAGGGAAGAAAUCUUUUGAGCUAAUACCUCGGAAGGAUGACGGUACCUAAAGAAUAAGCACCGGCUAACUACGUGCCAGCAGCCGCGGUAAUAC
rnacentral:rRNA from 1 species